rnacentral:snRNA from 1 species
AUGCUUGCCUGGCAGGAGAGAUCCCAUGAUCCUCUCAGUCAAUCAAGUGUAGUUAUAGGGUGAGGUCUGUCCCUUUCACUCUGGGCAGGCUGACCCCUGCAAGCUUCCCCAAAUGCAGGAAACUCAACUGAACAAUGUUGUGGUAAUGGGGUACUUCAUUCCCACUUUCCCCAU